CGGGGGAGGCCGGAUCCGGGCUGUGUCCCGGCGCCCUGUGCUCCGGGGCCUGCGCUGUUCGAGCCGUGCUCCCGCCCCGCAGCCCCCU
rnacentral:pre_miRNA from 1 species